ensembl:lncRNA
UAUUGUCUGGCACCCAAGCUGGACCCAUUCCUAGAAGUGGUAGGACUGGAAAACAUCAGGAUCAGGGACUCACAGACAGAUCCCUACUGAGUGGUUACUGGGCCUGGAAGAUUUCCACAGUGUGGCUUCUGGUCAGCUGCUCAGCAGAGGAGGAACUGGAGCCCACCUCAGCCCCUCUGGCCUGUCCUGGCCACAAAAAUCCCCCCAGCCUCUUGCACACCGAGGGGUGUGCUGUGUCUGGAGAGGCGUCGUGAAUCCGAGUAGUGCUGGAGAGCCGUGCCCUCCAAGAGGUGCCAGGAAACACUCCACAGGAAGUCUGGGGCUGUAGGGCCUGCUGAGGGAUGCCACCCACCGAGGAAAGGGGUGCAGAGCUCCCCACCCUUAGGAACACGGUUCAGGAAUUAUAUGUUCAGCACGAACGGGGCCCAUGUGAGAUCACGACCCUUCUGUCGUCUGUGUCAGUCAUCGUCUUUGAAGAUGGGCUCAUGACCCACUUGUUCAUUCUCCUGGACCAGCCAUCUUUCAAUCAUUCGUCAACAAUCUAGUAUUGUGUAAGGGGUAAGAAGGUAUCUGUUGCCACAUGCAGACCAUCUGAAACAGCGGCUUACAGCGACAGCAGCCGUUUGUUUGCCCACAGCUCUGCAAUUUGGCCAGGAUCCAGUGGGGACAGUCUGUCUCUGCUCCAUAUGCUGUCGGUUGGGGCCGCUCCACUGGGGUGGAUGGGCCACUCACGAGGCUGGUGAGCCAGUGCUGGCCUUCGGCUGGGAUCUCCACUUGGGCUGUGGGCCAGGGCUCCAGGCCUCCUACCCAAGCCUGUCCAUGUGGCUGCUUGGGCUUUUUCACAAUAGAGGAGCUGGGUUCCAAGAGCAAGGAUUCCGAGAAAACAAGCCCAGUGUGAAAGCGCUCGUCAAGUUUCCACCGACAGGACACUUGCUAAUGUCCCACUGGCCAAAGACAGUUCCGUGACGAGUCCAGAGUCAAUGUGGGGAAGAACCACUCAAGGGUGUGAGCACCAGGAGGCGUGGUUCGUUCUUGGCCACCAGAGUAACAGUUUCCCAUAGAGUAGGACCGUUCUUGUUUCCAUCAGGAGAAAAAAAUUGGGAAUCGGUGUUAUUUGCCCACUUGUAUGUUUUUUAUUAGCCAGAAACUUAAUACCAAUGUUUCCCAAGUUUUCAGCUGGCUUAAGAAAAUGGUGAGGAAAAAAGCUAUGAGAGGAAAAAAAUAUUAUGGGUAAAUAAAAUCAGGAAAAUAGAAGUUCUUAUUUUAAAAAAAAAAGAAAAAACUAUCCUGGAACCACAGGGAAGGGAGGCGCACAGAUGUGACGGGGGGAUGAUUAUGUGACAGAUGAAAAUCCAGGUGUAAUAGACACAAAGCACACAAAUGUCACCCAGAGGGGAAACGCCACAAGUUAACAGAGGUUCACGAAGAAAUAAUAAAGGCCAGUCAGAUACAGUCAGAAAAACAAAAGCAGGGAAGUAGUUCAAUUUUGUGAGCAGCAGCAUUUCAACUAGACUUACAAAAGGGUUGUUAAUUUGACUGAUAUUUUAUGUUUUUAUCAAUGACGAGACUGUUAAAAUAAUGAGAUGACUAAUACUCUGAAGGACUGGAUUAGAAUUCAAACUAACUGAACAAACAGAACGUCACGUUUUCUGAGCUGUUACCAUGUAAGAACUCCACAUACAUUUAACUUCACAAAACACUGAAGCCACAGAGAGUUGUAGCCAUUUUCUCAAGGUCACCCUGCUAGUCAGCGUGGGAGACAGGACCUGCAGCCAGGACCGUCUGCUUACUUUGAUCAACUUGUUAGAUAACAGAUUUCUGUAAAUGGAAGCAUUUGUCUCUUCAUUGACUCUGUGAAACUGGAAAAUAUAUUCCCAAAGAAAAAAAAUACUAAUCAAAGAUACAAUAGAAACAUCACGAGCAAGAAUUUUGAAGCUCUUCUAAUCCCCAAACUGAACUGAAAAACAUUUUUAAUGAAAUGAUGAUAAUUCUGGAAGUGAUUAACCAAAUCCAAUG